GGAUGUGAGGGCGAUCUGGUUGCAACAUCUGUCACCUCAAUGAUUGCCAGAGCUGAUUCAGCUGAUCUGGCUGGCUAGGCGAGUGUCCCCUCCCACCCUCACCACUUCAUGUAUGUCUCUCCCGAAGCUGCGCGCUUGGUGGAAGAGGAUGACAUCCCAAAUAUCGAAGAAGUGUACCUACAUAACCAAUCUUGUUUGUAACUUGGGGACUGCUUGUACAUAUGUAUAUUCAUUCACUAUGUUCUCAAAUAUUCUUCUACUAAUAGAAAAUGUAACUGAGAUAGGACACAGUCUUACAUGUUUC
rnacentral:snRNA from 1 species